GACGGCCGCGGGGUCUCCCCCUGCGGCGGCCGGGGGCUCGCUGGAUCCCCUCGUGCUAACGGGUCUGGCCGUGCAGGGCCGUGGGAGGUGUCCCGUUCAUGCAGUGACUUCUUGAGCACUUAGUGGAGGGAGCCAUUAUUCGGUCAUCGGGGGGAGGGAACAAAGACGUGAGUGACGCGCUCAGUCACCUACUGGCGGGUGGUGGCGGCCCCGGGAGGAAGAGGGAAGCCCAAAGGGCUGAGAGCGUGGGGGAGAGACGCUGGCGUUUCCUCCUGGACAGGUGUGUGCUUCAUGGAACAGAGAAGCCGCAUGACAGGGUGGGGAGCAACAUGGCGAAGCCUGUCUUCGGAGUUGGUUCUGAGGUCGUAGAUCCUGGAGCAAAUGAAACACUGGAGUGAAGGUGUGUGACCAAAUUCUCUGCAGGACAGCACCCCCCCACCCCAAAUGUUAUGGGUUAGGAAAUGGUUGCAGCCCAGAACUUUCGGGGUCUGUGGGACGCGGAAUUUUGUUUUGAUAAGAACCUUUGCCUUUGGAGCGGGAAUUGAAGACAGCCUGCUUCUGCAAGUGACAGCAAACUUCCAUUCCGGGUUCUGAAAAAUUUCUCAACUAUAUUUUCAUUCCUGCUUAACUGAGCGAUCCUAAUUCCCGGCUGUCCUGCUAAGGUAGAAUCUAAAUCCUGAUUGGCGGCGGGGGGGGGGGGGGCGCCACAUUGCGUUCCAUUCAGUGAACUUGUACACAGAGCCAGGCACGGUGCCAGAUGCUUUAAGGAAUAAAAUGAUGGUAAUUAUUA